GACGAACGCUGGCGGCGUGCCUAACACAUGCAAGUCGAACGCUCUCUCGCAAGAGAGGGAGUGGCGGACGGGUGAGUACCACGUGGGUACCUGCCUCAAGGUGAGGAAUACCACCGGGAAACCGGUGACAAUACCGCAUAUCUUCUUCCCAGAAGAAAGUCGCAAGACGCCUUGAGAUGGGCCUGCGCCCGAUUAGUUAGUUGGUGAGGUAAUGGCUCACCAAGACCGCGAUCGGUAGCUGGUCUGAGAGGAUGAUCAGCCACACUGGGAUUGAGAA
rnacentral:rRNA from 1 species